CCCUAGCCCUGAUAGAAGUGGAAAUCCUUUUGUGGUGGGGUUCACCACAAAAGAUUGAAACGGAUAGCAGGAAUAGCU
rnacentral:sRNA from 1 species